ensembl:lncRNA
CACAGCUACUGGUAUUACUGCUCCAGUAGCCCUGCCACGGUGGGGUGCCCAAGGCUGGACCUGGAGCACCUUGGCCAAGGGCUCUGAAGCCGCGUGGGGGACAUCUGGUGUUGAAACCCUUCUGCACGCGUGGUCAUGCAGAGGCUUUCCCUCUGGCACACAGGAAGGAGCUCCCCACACUUCCCCAGUGCCCUGCAGGGCAGAAACCAGGUGGAGAAGGGAGGGAAUUUGCCUCUGGUGCUCUGCAAAGGCUGGAGGGCUCUAAUCAAGGAGUACUAUAAAGAUAAGAGCAUGCACACUUCUGAAGUACUCAGGCAGCGUGGUGAAAGAAAUCGUGCACUACUCCACUGGAAUCCUUUUGGGGUGGUGCAAGCCGAGCUGGCCCCUCAGUGAAUGAUUCCUUCCAACUACAAGUCAAGCAGUGGAUCAAACACAGAGAAAUAAGAGAAGGAAGGAUUUCUCCUUAUCCCCAGUCAGACUAGUAGCCAUUCAAGCAUACAGUUUUGGAAGAAUAUGUAAAGUAAGAAAAGAGGGAAAUUACUAGGUUGUGAAAGGGCAAGAAUGGAGAAUAGCUUAAUUAAAUUAACUGAGGGAAUAUUUACACUUCCCAUUUCUGAGAUUUGCAAUUCUGUAGAAUAAUCUCCCAGAGGAAGUCAUGAAAACCUCAUCACUGAGCCAUUUUAAAUGAGUUGGAAUAGCUCUACAGCGAACAUCAGUGUGUGGGCUGUGGACUGGCUUAUGGCUUCUCUCUCUUUCUAAUCAAACACACUCCCCUUAUAUCUCUGUGGCAUGAACUGUGACAUAAUCCAUAUCAAUACGUUAAUGUAUUUGAAUUUUAAAACCUGCAUAAAUACUUAUCACAAACAAAUUAAUAAGAUUACCAAGAGGAUUAAUGUGCUAUUGUUUGUCACUUUUCUGUUUUCUGUGAUCAUACAAUAUAAAUGUUAAUUUAAAACUUUUGUAUCACUCUUGAAAGCAUUUCAUGAUGUGGAUGCCCCUUUUAUACACAUUUCUGUUGAAAACUUUCAGCCAUAACUUUGCAUAGUACCAAAUAUUUCUUCUCUUGUCUAAUCCUUGGAAACUUAAGGUAAAGUAGUAUCUUUAUGGGUCAAGAUCCUUUGUUUUCUCUUUUUGUACGUUUUAGCACAGACAUUUCUGAAUUCAUGAAGGAAUAUUUCAGAGGAUUUGAAUUGGCAUUGCACAGUCCUUGGGACAGAGCCCUAAAGGGGUCCUCUGCAGAAGAGAUUAAAACAGCAGCAUCAGGAGCUCAUCAGCAGAGGUCACAAUUCCCAAUGACUCAUUUGGCAUUUCUUUGGCAUUCGUUACCAAAUGUAGACUCUUACAUCUGAUUAUUACCUAAACUGUGUGCUGUCAUUUUGCCUCUAAUAUAAUACCUUGUGCUGCAACUGUGGAGUAGCUAUUUCACAUAUUGUUUCUCCCAUCUAUGUACCAACUGGGAUAAAUAGCAAGGUCUAAAUAUGUAGUACACUUUGCAUAGUACACAACCUUUGACACUUCAGCCUGGCUAAUUCUGUUGCUACUCUAUGGAAUUAAUUCCAUUUUAGCUUACUCUGAUGCUUUAUUUACUUUAUUCAUAAAUAUCUUGAUUCUUUAGCACACAAAUGAUUAAAAUUGAAAUGAGAAAGGUGGAUGUAAGUGGUAUUUAUUACUAGGAGGAAGACAGUAGUUACUGGACCCACUGAAGUUUUUCCUACUAUUUCAAUUAGAGACAAUAUUGUGCUUCACUUUCUAUUGGAAAAUUAUGUUUAAAGUUUCCAUGGAAAACAUCUGCUGUAUUCCACCCCAGCACUGGCAUUUGUUCAGAGAUAGAUUAAAUCAUUCAUUCCAUAUAUGCUAGUAAAUUUAGUUUUCCUUCUGCUAAAGCUGUUAUUGACCGUGGGUUAUUGAAGCACUCAUUUUCUAAAAGCCGAUUUCAAACUUUUUCCAAUUUGACUACUCUGCAAGUAAAUAAUUUACUUCUAUCUUUCGCUAUUCUUUGCACCUUGAAUGCAACGGUUGGUUCUGGACACACAGCAUUUUGAAAAAUCAGGCCAUCAGGCUUUCCCAAACAUAACUCUUGAACAUUUCUUUUAGCUGUUGAUGAUGAUGCAGACAGUGUUCUUCAGAAUUCUUUAUUUUAGCAUAACAUGUUUAUUAUAACAUGGGCAAAGGUAAUUAGAAUCCCAGCUGAUUACUUUUUACAUUUUCUAUCUUGAAACACAAGAAUGGCUCAUUAGAACAGAGCUGCUGUACAACACACACCAGCAAUUCCCUCAGCAGUGGGGCACCUGUGUGCAGCUAGCACAGCAGUAGUGUUUUACACAUUUCAACAUUUUAGAUAAGAGCGAUUUGGCUAUCCUAAAAUUAAAUCUUAAUUUUGAAAGUGGGUAUAAUUAUUACCUUUUUACAGUAAGAUAAAGUGAGAUUUAAACAUCUCUAGCGAAGGCAACAUAGCUAAAUGCCACCAGAAACAAAAUGAAAGCAAUAAAAACUGAAAUCUGUGAUUCUUUUCUUAUAGC